GACGAACGCUGGCGGCGUGCUUAACACAUGCAAGUCGAGCGGUAAGGCUCCUUCGGGAGUACACGAGCGGCGAACGGGUGAGUAACACGUGAGUAAUCUGCCCUUCACUUCGGGAUAACCACCGGAAACGGUGGCUAAUACCGCAUACGACCAGUCUUCGCAUGAGGUGCUGGUGGAAAGUCUUUUCGGUGAAGGAUGUGCUCGCGGCCUAUCAGCUUGUUGGUGGGGUAAUGGCCUACCAAGGCUUCGACGGGUAGCCGGCCUGAGAGGGUGACCGGCCACACUGGGACUGAGACACGGCCCAGACUCCUACGGGAGGCAGCAGUGGGGAAUAUUGGACAAUGGGCGAAAGCCUGAUCCAGCAACGCCGCGUGAGGGAUGACGGCCUUCGGGUUGUAAACCUCUUUCAGUACCGACGAAGCGCCCUGUCGGGUGGUGACGGUAGGUACAGAAGAAGGACCGGCCAACUACGUG
rnacentral:rRNA from 1 species